CACGGAGGGUGCAAGCGUUAUUCGGAAUCACUGGGCGUAAAGAGCGCGUAGGCGGUCUCUUAAGUCAGAUGUGAAAGCCCGGGGCUCAACCCCGGAAGUGCAUUUGAAACUAAGUGACUUGAGUAUGGGAGAGGGAAGUGGAAUUCCUGGUGUAGCGGUGAAAUGCGUAGAUAUCAGGAGGAACACCGGUGGCGAUGGCGACUUCCUGGACCAAUACUGACGCUGAGGAGCGAAGGCGUGGGGAGCAAACAGG
rnacentral:rRNA from 1 species